AAUCAACGCUGGCGGCGUGCCUAACACAUGCAAGUCGAACGCGAGAGGGGCUUCGGCCCCGAUUGAGUGGCGAACGGGUGAGUAACGCGUGGGUGACCUACCUUCGAGUGGGGGAUAACGUCCCGAAAGGGACGCUAAUACCGCAUAACAUCCUGCUUUUGAAUGGGUGGAGAUCAAAGCCGGGGAUCGCAAGACCUGGCGCUUGAUGAGGGGCCCGCGUCUGAUUAGCUAGNGGUGAGGUAACGGCCCACCAAGGCAACGAUCAGUAUCCGGCCUGAGAGGGCGGACGGACACACUGGGACUGAGACACGGCCCAGACUCCUACGGGAGGCAGCAGUGGGGAAUUGUUCGCAAUGGGCGCAAGCCUGACGACGCAACGCCGCGUGGAGGAUGAAGGUCUUCGGAUUGUAAACUCCUGUUGCCCGGGACGAAUGGCUCCGACCUAACACGUCGGAGUGUGACGGUACCGGGUGAGGAAG
rnacentral:rRNA from 1 species